AGCCCAGAGCCUGAAUCAGUGUGUGUGUUAGUGGAAGCGUCUGGAAAGGCGCGCGAUACAGGGUGACAGCCCCGUACACAAAAAUGCACAUACUGUGAGCUCGAUGAGUAGGGCGGGACACGUGGUAUCCUGUCUGAAUAUGGGGGGACCAUCCUCCAAGGCUAAAUACUCCUGACUGACCGAUAGUGAACCAGUACCGUGAGGGAAAGGCGAAAAGAACCCCGGCGAGGGGAGUGAAAAAGAACCUGAAACCGUGUACGUACAAGCAGUGGGAGCCUCUUUAUGGGGUGACUGCGUACCUUUUGUAUAAUGGGUCAGCGACUUAUAUUCUGUAGCAAGGUUAACCGAAUAGGGGAGCCGAAGGGAAACCGAGUCUUAACUGGGCGUUAAGUUGCAGGGUAUAGACCCGAAACCCGGUGAUCUAGCCAUGGGCAGGUUGAAGGUUGGGUAACACUAACUGGAGGACCGAACCGACUAAUGUUGAAAAAUUAGCGGAUGACUUGUGGCUGGGGGUGAAAGGCCAAUCAAACCGGGAGAUAGCUGGUUCUCCCCGAAAGCUAUUUAGGUAGCGCCUCGUGAAUUCAUCUCCGGGGGUAGAGCACUGUUUCGGCAAGGGGGUCAUCCCGACUUACCAACCCGAUGCAAACUGCGAAUACCGGAGAAUGUUAUCACGGGAGACACACGGCGGGUGCUAACGUCCGUCGUGAAGAGGGAAACAACCCAGACCGCCAGCUAAGGUCCCAAAGUCAUGGUUAAGUGGGAAACGAUGUGGGAAGGCCCAGACAGCCAGGAUGUUGGCUUAGAAGCAGCCAUCAUUUAAAGAAAGCGUAAUAGCUCACUGGUCGAGUCGGCCUGCGCGGAAGAUGUAACGGGGCUAAACCAUGCACCGAAGCUGCGGCAGCGACGCUUAUGCGUUGUUGGGUAGGGGAGCGUUCUGUAAGCCUGCGAAGGUGUACUGUGAGGUAUGCUGGAGGUAUCAGAAGUGCGAAUGCUGACAUAAGUAACGAUAAAGCGGGUGAAAAGCCCGCUCGCCGGAAGACCAAGGGUUCCUGUCCAACGUUAAUCGGGGCAGGGUGAGUCGACCCCUAAGGCGAGGCCGAAAGGCGUAGUCGAUGGGAAACAGGUUAAUAUUCCUGUACUUGGUGUUACUGCGAAGGGGGGACGGAGAAGGCUAUGUUGGCCGGGCGACGGUUGUCCCGGUUUAAGCGUGUAGGCUGGUUUUCCAGGCAAAUCCGGAAAAUCAAGGCUGAGGCGUGAUGACGAGGCACUACGGUGCUGAAGCGACAAAUGCCCUGCUUCCAGGAAAA
rnacentral:rRNA from 1 species